GCUGUUCAAAUUAUUUAAACUCCCUUGUGGAACUUAGUCCCCAAGCCAAAAGCUUUCCUUAAAGUCAGCGGUAACUGUCAUGUCUCUCGAGCAUUUCAUCGAACGGUUGCCGUUCUUCGCUACCCUACGACACUCUUCGCACUCCCCUCUCCAGUCCGCGGCAUGCGAGGAGGCAUUUCAUCGAACGGUUGCCGUUCUUCGCUACCCUACGACACUCUUCGCACUUCCCUCUCCAGUCCGCGGCAUGCGAGGAGGACAGCGGCGAUCGCAGAGGAGUUCAAUAGUUCGCCG
rnacentral:lncRNA from 1 species